GACGAACGCUGGCGGCGUGCUUAACACAUGCAAGUCGAACGGAAAGGCCCUGCUUUUGUGGGGUGCUCGAGUGGCGAACGGGUGAGUAACACGUGAGUAACCUGCCCUUGACUUUGGGAUAACUUCAGGAAACUGGGGCUAAUACCGGAUAGGAGCUCCUGCUGCAUGGGGGGGGUUGGAAAGUUUCGGCGGUUGGGGAUGGACUCGCGGCUUAUCAGCUUGUUGGUGGGGUAGUGGCUUACCAAGGCUUUGCCGGGUAGCCGGCCUGAGAGGGUGACCGGCCACAUUGGGACUGAGAUACGGCCCAGACUCCUACGUGAGGCAGCAGUGGGGAAUAUUGCACAAUGGGCGGACGCCUGAUGCAGCAACGCCGCGUGCGGGAUGACGGCCUUCGGGUUGAAAACCGCUUUCGCCUGUGACGAAGCGUGAGUGACGGUAAUGGGUAAAGAAGCACCGGCUAACUACGUG
rnacentral:rRNA from 1 species